AUAAGAAUUACCUGGGGAUCUUAUUAAAAUGCAGUUUUUGAUUCAUUAGGCCCUGAUAGGGUCUGAGAGUCUGCAUAUCUAAUAAGCUCCCAGGUGAGCUGAU
rnacentral:pre_miRNA from 1 species